UUGUUUGUUACAGGAAUGAUUCACAUAAUCACCUUCAGUGGUGAGAUGUGGCCUGACCUCCACUGCUCACUGGAACUCAAAGACCAAGAGGGAGCGACAUCUUGUUUAUUUAGGGUGCUGUCUGCCAGGCCUUCGCGCUCAUGGCUCACACAACUG